ensembl:misc_RNA Metazoa_SRP Metazoan signal recognition particle RNA
GCCGGGCACAGUGGUGCGUGCCUGUAGUCCCACUCGGGAGGCUGAAGUGGGAGGAUCGCUUGAGCCCAGGAGUUCUGGGCUGUAGUGUGCUCUGCCGAUCAGUGUCCGAACUAAGUUUGGCAUCAAUAUGGUGACUUCCCGGGAGUGGGGGACCACCAGGUUGCCUAAGGAGGGAUGACCCUGCCCAGGUCCGAAAUGGAGCAGGUCAAAACUCCUGUGCUAAUCAGUGGUGGGAUUGCGCCUGUGAAUAGCCACUGCACUCCAGCCUUAGCGAGACCCUGUCUUGU